GCUCCAGUAGGCGGCGCUCUCCUUGUGCUCUGUGUUCCAGCAUUGUGUCAAUAAGAAGUGGUGCUGUGAAGAGAACAAUAGUCAGACUGAAUGUUGAACAUCAGCUGCUUCCUCCUGCUGAUUUAAACCUUGGUGGACAGAUGGAACAUUGGCUGUGGAUUAUUCUGGCUGCUCUUUUCUCUGAGUGUAAAGGAGACUCAGUGAAGCAGACAGAAGGAGAAGUUGUUGCUGCUGCAGGAGAAUCACUGACUCUGAGAUGUACUUAUGAGACCAGUGAUACAUAUCCAUAUCUGUUCUGGUACAAACAAGGAGAAAACAGUUUCCCAAAGUACAUGCUGAAGCGUUACUCCACAACUUCAGAAAAUUCUCCAGAGUUCAGUGAAGACAGAUUUGAUGCUGAUCUCAACACCGAGGCAAAAGAGAAAUCAGUCAACCUGAAGAUCCAGGAUCUCCGUCUGUCAGACUCUGCUGUGUACUACUGCGCUCUGCGGCCCACAGUGACAGGAAACACCAGAACCCUGCACAAAAACCUGCAGUACUCCACAGCAGCCACUAGAGGGCCUCACAUCCUUCUCUAG